ACAUUUUGCCAUAUUAGAAUUAGAGAUAUAUCUGUCCACUUUAAAAGUGGCAUAAGUCACUUGCUGUGUGAUGUUUUAGUUUAAAGUAAACCACAACUAAGAAAACUUCCUUCACAUGCCAGAAGUCAGACUUCUGUUUCAUCAGGGAAUUAUCUAAGCAUCUUUCACUACCAAGGUGUUCAGUAAAUGAACAGUGCAAGUGAUGCUUUUUUCAUGUUUUCUCUCUUAUCCUUGCUGCUCUGGGAAAGUUAUUUACUUAUAUAAGUGGUUUUGAAUGGACUUGUGUUUUUUUGUUUGUUUGGUUGGUUUUUGUUUUGUUUUGUUUUGUUUUGUUUUGUUUUGUUUUGCUUUGUUUUGUUUUUAACUGCCUUUCUGAAUUUGCAAUUAGCUGAUUUAUUCUUUCUUUCUAGUUGCAGAAGGGGAGGAUGUUAAUUUAAUCAUUUCUCAUUCACCUUUGGAUGUCUGGCUCAGCCUAAAAUAUCUUCAAUUAUGCAUGGUUUGUCAAAGGAUUUCUGUCAUCACUGAGCUUUUGGCCCUCUACCUUCAGUGCAGUUUUAGGCACCAACAACAACCUCAGCUGCAACUACUGACAAAGACAGUGGGAGGUGAGGGAAUAUCAGACUGCUGCACAGAUUUCCUGGGUAAACAUAAGCGCUACUUAAGCACCAAAAUUGUGAAUAGAUGGCUCAUGGCUGAAGCAUUCAGGAUUCAGUUUUCCCAGCAGGAAGAUCUGAGAACAGACCCUCUCAUGGGGCACUGAGGGACUCUGAGAUACUGAAGAAGGAAAAAGCUUACAGAAGUGCAUGUAGGCAAUGGUGUGCAUCCUCCUGGAGGUGAGGGGUGUGAGUGUAUAUGUACGUACAUUUGGAUGUUUGGGGGGUAGGAGAAGGAAGCAGAAGCUGCUGCUUUCCACGGGAGCCCAGGGCGUGCUGACCUGCUGCACCAAGCCAACGGGACAACUUGCUACCUUAGCUGCUCGGAGAAACAGGAAUUGACAGUACAUCUAGUAAAGAAACUACCCUGAGGAAGCAUUCUCUGAUAUUUUCAGUUGGGACAUAAACUUGUGGAGUCUUUAAUCUGGUACACAAACAAUGAUUUUUACAUAUUUGAAUGAAUGUCUUUCUAUGUCUUCACAUGCUUUCCCUCAUGUUUCACGCAUGCUGUAUUGAAGAAAUACGCAUAUUGUGUAUAUAUGCAAGAUUUUUUUUUCUCUGCCAAAUCAACUUAGAGUAGUUCUUUGUCCAUCCAACACAUCUUAAAAUUCAGGCACUGAAAAAAAGUGGUAGGGAUGGAUGAGUCAUCUUAGCUUCUCUUCAAAUGCCUGCAAAAUAAAAUUGGGCAUUUAUUGUUAUUUCA
rnacentral:lncRNA from 1 species